rnacentral:ncRNA from 1 species
UUAGAUGAGGCGCAUCAAUCAUUAGUAAAUUUUAGAACAAACUAUCUGCUAGUAGCUAAAAUUGAAAGGGUGAGAUGCCGAAACGACAAUAAUAGCAGCUUAUUGUUUUGUUGGACUUUGUGGUUAAGAGCUUAAGGUCUGUCAUUAUUUAAAAUAAUGGAGUGCAUC